rnacentral:rRNA from 1 species
UUAGAGGAAGUAAAAGUCGUAACAAGGUUUCCGUAGGUGCAUGGUUCGCCUACCGGUGCCCCGCAGCGACUCUAAAGAACUGCCCAGUCAGCGAUCCACGGUCGCUGGCGACGCCACCAAUCUGCGCUGGGAGCGCCCGAAUGCGGGCGUGACCAGCAGCUCCUCUGGAGUUCACAGGUCAAACGGUUGCGGCCUCCUUCGGGUGGUUUUGAUAUGAUCGGCCCCAGCCGUUGGACCCACGGUUGGCGAAGUUUGCGGAACCUGCGGAAGGAUCAUUA